UUAGAGUUUCGGGUCAAGGUUUCCGUAGGUGAACCUGCGGAAG
rnacentral:rRNA from 1 species